UAUAAGGGUGAUCUCUGCACCCCUGUAGAGCUUUCCCUUUUCCAGCGUCGGGUUAACCAGACUAACCUGAAGAUGACUGGAUUUUCAGCUUCCACUGUAUAUGCUGAAUGUUACUUAACCAAAUUUACAGUUUACAGCAGUAUACCUCUAUAUUCACAGGGGUGAAUUUGUCUCUUCCUCUCUCUGUGAAUUAACAGCCUGUGUCUCUCCAGUAUACCUAUAGCAGUACCAGAAGAAAAAUGAUCCGGUCUCCUAGAUGUUGUAUGUACACCCCGUCUGAUCCCAAGAGGUAGAGGUUGCGACAUUCCUGUCUCCGACCCGCACCCUGACCCACCACAUUUGCGAAGGUUGCAUCCUCCCCUGUAGUCUGACCUCCUGCACAGGGAAGAAGCAGGAUCAGUGGUAAUAAAGCUGGAACUGUAGUCAUGCAAUCUCCGGGAGGAGAGAGAUACAAGAACAAAAUCCUCUGGCAUCGACAGGAGGAGGCCAGAAGUGGAAUAGCAGCGGUGCUGGUGACACUGGCGCUGAAGGUUUUGGUGCCAAUCCAGUGCAGGGCAUGAGGAAAUCCUGGACACCUGACCACCGCACCUCUGCAGAAAACUCCGUCCCAGGCUACCUAAACAGCCAAUAAGGGUGGUAAUUUUCCAGCACAAACAGUGGGAGACCAGCUUUGCAGAAGAAGGCUUCCUAUCCCCAUGCUGCUCCCUCAGGUGCUCACAACCCAACGAACCGCUCGUGGCAAUCCUGUGAACUACUAACCAUGAAAGCCCUCGGGGGCUGAUGCGAAUGCCUGAGCUUCUCUCACAGCCACGUCUCCUUGUUCUUUACCCUUUUGGCGUUCUAAAGCAUGUUUUAGUUUUGACAUACUCUAGACCAGCUUGUAAAGAACAAUAAAAAAAAAGUAUGCACUUCAAAUUCUUCAAAAAUCCAUGUGUAACCCUUAAAUAUCAGGA